GAUGAAGAACGUAGCGAAAUGCGAUACGUAAUGUGAAUUGCAGAAUUCAGUGAAUCAUCGAAUCUUUGAACGCAUAUUGCGCUCUCUGGUAUUCCGGAGAGCAUGCUUGUUUGAGUAUCAGUAAACACCUCAACUUCCAUAUCUUUUUUGAAAUGGGAGUUGACUUGAGUGAUCCCAACGCUUUUCCUCACCGAAAAGUGGCGGGUUACUUGAAAUGCAGGUGCAGCUGGACUUUUCUCUGAGCUAUAAGCAUAUCUAUUUAGUCUGCCUAAAAAACAGAUUAUUACCUUUGCUGCAGCUAACAUAAAGGAGAUUAGUUCUUGUGCUGACUGAUGCAGGAUUCACAAAGACGGCUUCGGCCGACUUUGUAAACUCGAUCUCAAAUCAAGUAAGACUACCCGCUGAACUUAAGCAUAUCAAUAAGCGGAGGA
rnacentral:misc_RNA from 1 species